AUGAGCCACCUCGUCGUGGUCGUGGCAUCCCUCGCCGUCGUGCUGCUGGCGCGGUGCGCAGCGGCGUAUCCGUGGCAUUUGUGCGGCACGGCGGCCAACUUCACGGCCAACACCACGUACCAGGCCAACCUCGGCCUCCUCGCCGCGGCGCUGCCCAAGAACAUCUCCUCGUCCCGGCACCUCUUCGCCACCGCCGUGGUCGGCGCCGCCCCGGACCAGGUCUCGGCGCUCGCGCUCUGCCGGGGCGACGCCAACGCCACGGCCUGCUCCGGCUGCCUCGCCGUGGCCUUCCAGGACGUGCAGAACCAGUGCGCCUACGACAAGGACGCCGCCAUCUACUACGACCCCUGCGCCCUCUACUACUCCUCCAACGCCACCUCCCUCGCCUCCAUGGAUAACGUCGGGAGGACGAACCGCGUCAACAACCAGAACGUCACGUCCGACCCCGGGCGGUUCAACCGCCAGGCGGCCGCGCUCGUGAGCGCCACCGCCGACUACGCGGCGUACAACUCCACGCGCCGGUACGCGUCCGGGGAGGCCGACCUCGGCGUCGGCGGCCAGUUCCCCAGGGUGUACAGCUGGGCGCAGUGCACGCCGGACCUGACGCCGGCGCGGUGCCGUGGUUGCCUCGCCGGACUCAUUGCCAAAAUGUCUAGGCGGUUCACCGGCAGCGUCGGAGGGAGAUCUCUUGGGGUCAGGUGCAGCUACCGAUACGAGACGUACUCCUUCCUCGACGGCCCGGUGAUGGUCAGGCUGGCUGCGCCGCCGAGCUCGGCCGCGCCUGCGCCUGCGCCGGCAGUUGGGCCCACGGUUCCGACUCCAGGGGCGGUCGCCGGAGGUGAGUCUUCCUACUACAGUAUACUCAUAUUUCAUCUGGUCGCGUCGUGGCAUCCUUAA
rnacentral:rRNA from 1 species